GACGAACGCUGGCGGCGUGCUUAACACAUGCAAGUCGAACGGAAAGGCCCUGCUUGCAGGGUACUCGAGUGGCGAACGGGUGAGUAACACGUGGGUGAUCUGCCCUGCACUUCGGGAUAAGCUUGGGAAACUGGGUCUAAUACCGGAUAGGAGCCAUCUUUAGUGUGGUGGUUGGAAAGUUUUUUCGGUGUAGGAUGAGCUCGCGGCCUAUCAGCUUGUUGGUGGGGUAAUGGCCUACCAAGGCGGCGACGGGUAGCCGGCCUGAGAGGGUGUACGGCCACAUUGGGACUGGGAUACGGCCCAGGCUCCUACGGGGGGCAGCAGUGGGGAAUAUUGCACAAUGGGCGCAAGCCUGAUGCAGCGACGCCGCGUGGGGGAUGAAGGGCUUCGGGUUGGAAACUCCUUUCGCUAGGGACGAAGCUUUUUGUGACGGUACCUAGAUAAGAAGCACCGGCUAACUACGUG
rnacentral:rRNA from 1 species